AAACAUGUUUUGUUUUCAUAAAUUUUAAGUUUUUUCUUACUUACAACGUCAUUUGAUGAUGUUUCACUUUUUUAUCGACUUUCUAAUUUAUUCGACUUUCAAAGUCUAUUUAUGUGUAAACAUGUUGUUUUUCAUAAAUUUUAAGUUUUUUCUUACUUACAACGUCAUUUGAUGAUGUUUCACUUUUUCGUCGACUUUCUAAUUUUUUCGACUUCCAAAGUCUAUUUAUGUGUAAACAUGUUGUUUUUCAUAAAUUUUAAGUUUUUUCUUACUUACAACGUCAUUUGAUGAUGUUUCACUUUUUCGUCGACUUUCUAAUUUUUUCGACUUCCAAAGUCUAUUUAUGUGUAAACAUGUUGUUUUUCAUAAAUUUUAAGUUUUUUCUUACUUACAACGUCAUUUGAUGAUGUUUCACUUUUUCGUCGACUUUCUAAUUUUUUCGACUUCCAAAGUCUAUUUAUGUGUAAACAUGUUGUUUUUCAUAAAUUUUAAGUUUUUUCUUACUUACAACGUCAUUUGAUGAUGUUUCACUUUUUCGUCGACUUUCUAAUUUUUUCGACUUCCAAAGUCUAUUUAUGUGUAAACAUGUUGUUUUUCAUAAAUUUUAAGUUUUUUCUUACUUACAACGUCAUUUGAUGAUGUUUCACUUUUUCGUCGACUUUCUAAUUUUUUCGACUUCCAAAGUCUAUUUAUGUGUAAACAUGUUGUUUUUCAUAAAUUUUAAGUUUUUUCUUACUUACAACGUCAUUUGAUGAUGUUUCACUUUUUCGUCGACUUUCUAAUUUUUUCGACUUCCAAAGUCUAUUUAUGUGUAAACAUGUUGUUUUUCAUAAAUUUUAAGUUUUUUCUUACUUACAACGUCAUUUGAUGAUGUUUCACUUUUUCGUCGACUUUCUAAUUUUUUCGACUUCCAAAGUCUAUUUAUGUGUAAACAUGUUGUUUUUCAUAAAUUUUAAGUUUUUUCUUACUUACAACGUCAUUUGAUGAUGUUUCACUUUUUCGUCGACUUUCUAAUUUUUUCGACUUCCAAAGUCUAUUUAUGUGUAAACAUGUUGUUUUUCAUAAAUUUUAAGUUUUUUCAUUCUUCCAACGUCAUUUGAUGAUGUUUCACUUUUUCGUCGACUUCAAAAUUUUUUCGACUUCCAAAGUCUAUUUAUGUGUAAACAUGUUGUUUUUCAUAAAUUUUAAUUUUUUCUUACUUACAACGUCAUUUGAUGAUGUUUCACUUUUUCGUCGACUUUCUAAUUUUUUCGACUUCCAAAGUCUAUUUAUGUGUAAACAUGUUGUUUUUCACAAAUUUUAAGUUGUUUUUCAUUCAUAUCUUUGUUUAAUGAUGUUUCACUUUUUCGUCGACUUUCUAAUUUUUUCGACUUCCAUUGUCUAAUUAUGUGUAAACAAGUUGUUUUUCAUAAAUUUUAAGUUUUUUCUUACUUACAACAUCAUUUGAUGAUGUUUGA